AGCACCGCACCGACUCUUCACUCAUCCAGAAUCCAUCUCCGACAACACUUCCUAUUCACUCAACCAAGCGAACCACGACACCGACUCUUCACUCAUCUCGCCUGACGGAUGUGACCUGAAGAAAAGGCCUUGCUGAUCUAUCUGAAGGAGUUUUUGGUUCUGAUUCAAAUCGUGAAUUCGCUACUUGAGAGUUUUCCUCUCCUCUUGGGUCUUCGGGUUCUGCGCACUGGAAGUCUUGCUUCCAAUCGGCUGAGAUGAGUGAAGCGGAGGUCGGAGGAGGAGGUGUUGAUGCAGUAAGAAGUUUUGGUGAGAGAGGAGAAGGGGCUCUGAUGUGGGUAUAUAGUGUGAAGAUUUUUGACUAAAAUCUCAGUCAUUGAUGAGAUCCGACGGUUGAAAUUUCAGUUCAUGUAUUGACGAUAAAACACGUGUAUGCCACGUAGGUGUUCUGAUUGCCACAUGUGCAAAUUCUGACAAACUAGUACCAGAACAGUGAAAUUGGGACAUAUUUGAGUUGUUUUAUGAGACAUCGAGGAUAAAAAUGAGAAAUUUUAUACUUUAAGAAUAUAAAUGAGAAAAAUGGGAUACUUCAAGGGCA